AUGCUCGGGGAACUCCUACACAACCCCGAGCGCCUCCGCUUCCAGCCACUCUCGCCUCCCACCACCCCGGCUCUGGGACCAAACCCGGCCUCGCAGCCCAGCAGCAAGCGUCCGUCCUCCCGGCCGCAGCCCCUUCCCCCUCUCCGCUGGCCUCCCCACCCGCCACCUGGCUUCGCAGCGGCCGCUCGGGAAGCCCUCGGCACUUCCCAGAAUAGAGAGCAGCUGCCAACGUCAGGCUGCCGCCCGCCGCGGGGUUCCGGGCGCACGGGGUGCGGGCGGAGGGGACGUGACUCCACUCUGGCCUUCCGUCUCCCCCCACCGGGCCGGGAAACUGAGGCCCAAGGCCGGCAGCAACUUCCCCAGGGUGCACAGUCCGCGAGGGCCCGGCCAGUCCCGGGCCCCAGGCGUCCCGACUCCCGUCCGCGAUCCCUCGACCACACGCGCCGCCGGGUCGCCCCUGAGAGCCGGGCGGGGAGCGGGUCUCUAAGGGAGCGCUUCGCCCGGGACCGCGCAGGGCGCCAGACGCGGCCAACUCGCCGCGAAAGUUGCCUCCCAGCCUGCCCUCGCCUCUCACCUCUGAGACACACCUUCCCGCGGGCCCUGGCAGCCGCACUCUCACAUCCGGUCCACCUUGCGCACACCCCUCUCCACGCUCUCCCACGGCCCCUCUCCCUCCCACGCCUGCGGCUCGCGGCCGCUCCCCCGCGCCCCCUCGCGCACUCCCACCCGCGCCCGGGGCGCGCCUUCCCCGCCCCGCCGCACGCCUGGCCUCCGCGCCGCGCCCGCCCGGGCUUCUGGCGCCCGGGAGCCCCAGUCCCCGGCCGCGACCCGCUUCCGCCUGCCCGGCGGGAGGCAGAAGCCCGGGUAGCCGUGCGGGGGGCGAGGGGCUCGGCGGCGCGGGGCGGGGAGGGGGCGCUCGCUCGCUCACUCUCGGCUGCGCACACGCCCGUACAAACUCUCACACAGACACACGCGGGGUGCGCUGCCGCCGCCCGCCGCUGCUCCUCCUCCCGCCACCGCCUUGAGAGGGAGAGGGAGAGGGAGGCAGAGAGAGCGCUUUGUCCGCGCGCCGCCGCCCGGCCCGGGACUCUGCCCCGAGGAGGCAGCCGCGCCGAGUCCCCGCCUCCGCCUCUGCCCCCGGGCGGGCCGGGCCGGCCGCGGUGGGGGGAGCCAGGCUGA
rnacentral:lncRNA from 1 species